AGCGAACGCUGGCGGCAGGCCUAACACAUGCAAGUCGAACGGAUCCUUCGGGAUUAGUGGCGGACGGGUGAGUAACACGUGGGAACGUGCCCUUUGGUUCGGAACAACUCAGGGAAACUUGAGCUAAUACCGGAUGUGCCCUUCGGGGGAAAGAUUUAUCGCCAUUGGAGCGGCCCGCGUCUGAUUAGCUAGUUGGUGAGGUAAAGGCUCACCAAGGCGACGAUCAGUAGCUGGUCUGAGAGGAUGAUCAGCCACAUUGGGACUGAGACACGGCCCAAACUCCUACGGGAGGCAGCAGUGGGGAAUCUUGCGCAAUGGGCGAAGGCCUGACGCAGCCAUGCCGCGUGAAUGAUGAAGGUCUUAGGAUUGUAAAAUUCUUUCACCGGAGACGAUAAUGACGGUACCCGGAGAAGAAGCCCCGGCUAACUUCGUGCCAGCCGCCGCGGUAAUAC
rnacentral:rRNA from 1 species